AUGAACGCUGGCGGCGUGCUUAACACAUGCAAGUCGAACGGUUAAACCGCCCUCGGGCGGACAUAGAGUGGCGAACGGGUGAGUAACACGUGACCAACCUGCCCCCCGCAGCGGGAUAACGCGGCGAAAGCCUCGCUAAUACCGCAUACUCCGGCAGGGCCGCAUGGCCCCGCCGGGAAAGCCUUGCGCGGCGGGGGAUGGGGUCGCGGCCCAUCAGGUAGUAGGCGGGGUGACGGCCCACCUAGCUUUCGACGGGUAGCCGGGCUGAGAGGCCGACCGGCCACAUUGGGACUGAGAUACGGCCCAGACUCCUACGGGAGGCAGCAGUGGGGAAUUUUGCGCAAUGGGGGGAACCCUGACGCAGCAACGCCGCGUGCGGGAAGAAGGCCUUCGGGUUGUAGACCGCUUUCAGCAGGGACGAAUUCCGACGGUACCUGCAGAAGAAGCCCCGGCUAACUACGUGCCAGCAGCCGCGGUAAUACGUAGGGGGCGAGCGUUAUCCGGAUUCAUUGGGCGUAAAGCGCGCGUAGGCGGCGCGUCAAGCGGGACCUCUAACCCCGGGGCUCAACCCCGGGCCGGGUCCCGGACUGGCGCGCUCGAGUGCGGUAGAGGCGAGUGGAAUUCCCGGUGUAGCGGUGGAAUGCGCAGAUAUCGGGAAGAACACCGAUGGCGAAGGCAGCUCGCUGGGCCGCCACUGACGCUGAGGCGCGAAAGCUGGGGGAGCGAACAGGAUUAGAUACCCUGGUAGUCCCAGCCGUAAACGAUGGGCGCUAGGUGUGGGGGGCCCCGCCCCCCGUGCCGCAGCCAACGCAUUAAGCGCCCCGCCUGGGGAGUACGGCCGCAAGGCUAAAACUCAAAGGAAUUGACGGGGGCCCGCACAAGCAGCGGAGCAUGUGGCUUAAUUCGAAGCAACGCGAAGAACCUUACCAGGGCUUGACAUGCGCAUGAAGCCGGGGAGACCCGGUGGCCGAGAGGAGUGCGCGCAGGUGGUGCAUGGCUGUCGUCAGCUCGUGUCGUGAGAUGUUGGGUUAAGUCCCGCAACGAGCGCAACCCCUGCCCCGUGUUGCCAGCAUUGAGUUGGGGACUCGCGGGGGACUGCCGGCGUCAAGCCGGAGGAAGGUGGGGACGACGUCAAGUCAUCAUGCCCCUUAUGCCCUGGGCUGCACACGUGCUACAAUGGCCGGUACAGAGGGCUGCCACCCCGCGAGGGGGAGCGAAUCCCGCAAAGCCGGCCCCAGUUCGGAUCGGAGGCUGCAACCCGCCUCCGUGAAGUCGGAGUUGCUAGUAAUCGCGGAUCAGCACGCCGCGGUGAAUACGUUCCCGGGCCUUGUACACACCGCCCGUCACACCACCCGAGUCGUCUGCACCCGAAGCCGCCGGCCGAACCCGAAAGGGGCGGAGGCGUCGAAGGUGUGGAGGGUAAGGGGGGUG
rnacentral:rRNA from 1 species